AGGAAUGCCCCAGAUUGGCAAUGUCUAGAGCCUUUGGGGACUACUUUAUUAAGGAUUUUGGACUUAUAUCCGUCCCUGAAGUGAGGUGUUGUCACAUAUAACCAGCAGAGACCAAUUUGUUGUGUUGCGAACCGAUGAGUCUUCCCGCUAGGGGCUGGGAAGAGAUAACAACGGGAGCGUCGAUUGCAUGGCUAUCAAGUACAUCAAAUUUGAAUUGGACACAAAAAUGUCGCGAUUCCCUCUCUCCGAUCAGAAACUUCGAAGGCAAAAUUUGUGCGAAAAAGUAUGUGUUUCCAUCUGCUUGUGUGUGUUUAUGUAUGUUCGCCAACCAAUUGAUAUUUUCGGCUUUCUGUUUCGUUGCAAUGAAUUCAAGAAAACGAGAAAAGUUUAAAUUCUUUUAGCUUUUCUAUCGAAUUCCUUUUGAUUUUCUUUCUUUUGUUUGUCUUCGUGAAUUUGUUAGACUUUUGGAUUUACUGUGAACUACGGUUUCUUCGUCUACUAUUUGAAUGUUUCUUUUUUUUAGACGAUAUCUAGUGUUGUUUGCAAUAUCUUUAGAUUUUUGUGGUUGAUGUUCCCAUUAAUUUCUUGGAUUUUGAUUUUUUUUCACGUAAGGGUUUCUUUAGCAUAUUUGGAUGGUUUAUUGUCUACGAAUAUGAGUUUUCAGGAAUUUAGGGUUUAUUUGUUCAACUUGUAUAGAUUCUGCACGACUAGAAUUUUUGACAUCAUUAGAUAAUUUUUUAAGUCAUAGUCCUGUAGGUUUCUUGGUUUGGAUUUCCAUGGGAUUCAACAUGAAGAUUCAGGGAAAACACACUCAAUAUGUUUUUGUUUCUAUUUGUAUAAAUUUGGAUUUACGUAGUUCUUUCUUUAUUCAGAGAAAUAGACCCAAUAAAGUUUAAAUAAUCAAUAGGUCCCAUAAUCUCUUGAGAGAGGUGCAAUGAGAUUGUGA